AUGCGGCGGUGUCGGGGCGCGGGGCUGGCGGCGCUGCCCGUGCUGCUGCUCGUGGCUUCAGGCAGAGCCCAGGUACAGCAGGAGCCGCUGCUGGAGACCACCGAGGGCACCGGCAUCAACAUCAGCUGCUCACAUCCCAAAAAAGAGAGCGGCGAUUACAUCCAUUUCUACCGUCAGCUCCCGGGCCGAGCACCCGAAUUCCUCGGCCUCGCUAUUAGAGGCUCCAAGGAGGUGGCGGCUGUUGCAGGAGAGCUGUCGGUGUCGGAGGACGGGCGUUCGAGUGCGCUGUGGCUCGGGCGGCCCCGGCGCGGGGACGCGGCCGUGUAUUACUGCGCGCUGGGGGCCACGGGCAGAGGAGCCGGGGCUGCGGCCGGGCACGAACCGCCGCGGGCGGGGCCGGCCGGGGCCAGCAGGGGCCGCUCCGCUCCCGGCUGACGCCGCUCGGCGGGACAGGGACCGAGCCCCGCGUGGCACCCGCGGGACCCCGGCCGGGAGCCAGCACGGGCCCAGCACACGGCCUGGCCUCCUGCGAGA